AAAUAUUUCAAACAAAGAGAUAAAAUAUCAAAAACUAAAAUAAGAUAAAACAAAUCUACCUAAUAAAAUAAAUCUACCUAAAUUAAAAUAAAUCUCUACCUAAAUUGAAUUUUUUUCCAAAAAUUCGAACGGUGAGGUGGACCAACGAUGAAGGCUCAGCACGACAUGGUUCAAAGGCAGCAGCCGUGGUGGUAAGUCACCCAAGGGCUUCGGUGAGGGCGAUGGGCACGAUCGUCAAGAGCUCUGGCGAGGGGCUCGGAUGGCAGCUGGUAGAAUGGCGACGAAUAGGGGAGCCGCUCGAAUCAGGAAGCGCGGCUCGUCGUUGGAGCAGCAGUGGCGCUCGGGCGUCUGUGGGUCAAUCGUAGCGGCGGCGGAGCUGCGAACAUCGCUCGUGCAGGCGCGGGUGAGGCGGUGGGAGCAGUGAUGGCCGCGAAUAGUGGCGUCGCGGGUUGCUGUAGGGGCGCGAAAGCGCGGCGAUCAGCUCGGGCUGCUGGCGGAAGGAGGUGCAGCAGCAGUGGCGGUGCUCGAGCGAGCUGUUGGUGGUCGCUCAGGCGGGAGGGCAUCGAGCGGCGGUGACUGGCAGCAGCGACGACGGGCGUUCGGGUCGAGCAGAGAGUGGGCUCGCGGGGGCUGCAGGUCGCAGGUUACUGCGGUGGAGGUCUUGCAGGUGUCGAGGCAGGUCACAGGUGUGAGCGUCGCUGAGGGAAGGCGGACGAGGAUGCUUGGGUGCGGACGUUGGCGGCAGUAGGUGGCAUGGGCGUCGCGAUGGAGGGUCGUUGAGUGGAGAUGAUGGCGCGCCUAGAUCUCGCUGGUGAGGGACGGCGGCAGACAGAUCAGCAGUAGCGGAGCGGCAUGCAGCUUCACGGAGAAGGAACCCACGAAGAAGAAGCAUAGUGCACGUCUUUUCUUUCCUUUUUUCUUUUUUUUUUGGUUUUUCUCUCUCUCACCUCACGUCUACUCUCUGUAGUAAUUCUUUCUUCCUCUCCUGUUUCUUUUUAUGCUUUUUCCACAGAAAGGAAAAAGCUGACUUUUUUCUUUUUUCCUCGAAGCUUUUUUUUUUUGUACGAACCAUAACUUUUUACUCUCAAUUUCUUUGAAAAUUUUCUUCCUUUUGUCGUGAAAAAUGAGCAUCUCUUUUAUAGUGAUUCGAAACGAUCUCUUUACAUGGCAUUUCCCGAAUUACCAUUUCUUAUCACAUUAAAUCAAAUAUGUAUGAUUUGGCAAUCAACUCAAUUAUUGCCAAUUUUUCACUUUAUUUCAAAAUUGUUGCUGCAUUUAACAAAAUCUGGACAUCCGUCAAAAUUCCAUAUUCAAUCAAAUCAAUUUCCCCCAUUUUCAUUUUUUUUUCUUUUUAUUUGAUCAAAAUGCAAUUUUAUUUUUCCAAAAUUAGGUGUCAACAAUUUUAUCGUGUGGAUUUUUUGCUCGAUUGAUCCCGAAACCAUAGGACUUUUGUUCUACAUGUCAAGAUCUUUCCAAUCAUAUAUAAUUUGCAUAGUUUCGCUUAAAACUGAGAGAGAAUUUGAAAUUUGAAAUUUGAAAUUCUAGGGUUUAUACAUGAACAAGAGAUUUGGACGCAACCUUGAGGUCGAUUAUGACUAUGCCAUUUACAUCUCAUUUAGCAAAUUUGGGGGGGGUCAAUAUAUUGAAAAGAUGCAAAUCUUUUUCAUUAGUUAUGGGUGGCUAACCAUUGCAUUGAAAAUCUUUUGAAGAGAAGAACACAAAGAUAAGUGAUUACUCUGCAUAUAUGUAUUGAAAAUUUUCUAAUUUUGAGCAUGGGAUAAAUGUAGAUGUUGUAAUAAUACCUUUAUCAAAGGGAAUAAAAACAUGUAUUUAAAUAAAUUCAAGAAUGAAUUCAACUAUCGACAUUGUGACAUUAUUCUAAUUCUAUCUCUAUAAUUCGAAAAAAUAUUUAAGUGAAUUAUUCUUUUUAUUGCUUAUCUUUUGAGUUGCCAUACUUCGUGCAAAUUGUUGUGCUUUGUGCACAUGCACUUUUGUUUGCGUUGCGAGCAUGUUUGCCAUACUUGUGACUAGGGAUUUGUGUUAUUUCCAUUCCCGUUGCAUCAUAUGCCUUCUUAUAUUAUGAAUUGAACUUAGUAUGAACAAAUUUUUUUUUUAUACAAAGUGAUCAUAACUGGAAAUAUCAAAAUGUUUGUGAAAUUAAUAUACUUGCAAUAAAAAGAAAAAUUCACUGAUUGUGUUGUGCCUCAUGUAGUGAGCUUACUUCUUCAAACUGCCAGCGUGCAGAAGUCCCAACGAUCUCCAAGGCCCAAGCCCACGUAGAAAAGCCCUGCUUCGGCCUCUGCGAACGUGUCGACUUCCUCAUCGCAGCCGGUGGAANNNNNNNNNNNNNNNNNNNNNNNNNNNNNNNNNNNNNNNNNNNNNNNNNNNNNNNNNNNNNNNNNNNNNNNNNNNNNNNNNNNNNNNNNNNNNNNNNNNNNNNNNNNNNNNNNNNNNNNNNNNNNNNNNNNNNNNNNNNNNNNNNNNNNNNNNNNNNNNNNNNNNNNNNNNNNNNNNNNNNNNNNNNNNNNNNNNNNNNNNNNNNNNNNNNNNNNNNNNNNNNNNNNNNNNNNNNNNNNNNNNNNNNNNNNNNNNNNNNNNNNNNNNNNNNNNNNNNNNNNNNNNNNNNNNNNNNNNNNNNNNNNNNNNNNNNNNNNNNNNNNNNNNNNNNNNNNNNNNNNNNNNNNNNNNNNNNNNNNNNNNNNNNNNNNNNNNNNNNNNNNNNNNNNNNNNNNNNNNNNNNNNNNNNNNNNNNNNNNNNNNNNNNNNNNNNNNNNNNNNNNNNNNNNNNNNNNNNNNNNNNNNNNNNNNNNNNNNNNNNNNNNNNNNNNNNNNNNNNNNNNNNNNNUUUAACACUUACAUGUCGCACUUAUAUUUCAAAUAAAUUGUUCCCUUCCGUUUUUCCUCUGGACUCUUUUUUCCACGUUCCCGCUACAAACUCUCCAACAACCUAGAUGGGUGUCACCUCUUACCGUCCAAAAAAUAAAAGCACAUGAACAUCGGUUUCCACCAUAAUUGAUUAUAUUACUCAAAAGUAUUUUUAUUAAUAAUCAAACUAUACGAACAAGUACAAUACAAGAGAGAAUUAUAGUUUGUUGAACAAGGAGAUAUAAUUAUUCAUCAGACUCUAUGUUAUUGACUCUAUAAGGUACAAACCAUAUUCCCUCUUGUCACGGACAUAAGACAUAUGCAAUGAACUAGUUGUCUUAUUUCUUCGAUCCUCCUUGGUGCUUUAACUUGUACAAUGUAACCCAAACUUCCCAAGAGUACAAACACACCAGUAGCAUUUUCAUUUACUAGUGUGUCACUUCCCCAUUUUCCUGGUCAAGAAAUGGGUAAUCUAUGUAACCAACAACUGGAUCUUGAGUAUAAAAUGUAUCUCUGUUAUAACCAUUCAAUGGUGCAUCCACCUUGAAUCGGUAGACCAAAUCAGGGUUAGAGAUGAAGAGCCGACCGUACGAUAUCAAGUCCGCAUCUCCUCCAGCCAAAGCCUUCAUCCCAAGCUCUCGCGUGAAGCUGCCGCUCAACAUGAAAGUACCUUGAUAAGCUCUCCUCAAAGUUGUCAUCAAUUGAGCUUCUUCAUCCUUCUCUUGUUUGACGUAAUUCUCUGUGCCAUUGAGUGUGAAUCGAGGAUGAGUCACAUGGAGAUAGGCGAGUUUGGAGCCUAUCUCAUUUUGGAACUUGUUCAAUCUCUCGAUGACCGAUAGGCCUAGAUUGAGUGGAUCGGAGUCCAUGGCAUCUAGGUGGUCAAUCGCUGGUGAGAUUCUAACUCCCGUUCGAUCAGUGCCAACUUCUCCUGCUACCACUUUGAUGAUCUCCAUCAAGAAUCUGCAUCUAUUCUCAAUUGAUCCCCCAAAUUCGUCUACUCUAUCAUUGAUUGAGUCCUUUAAGAAUUGAUCAAUGAGAUAGCCAUGUGCUCCAUGCACUUCAACACCAUCAAAACCUAAAGUGGAAAUUGAUUUGAUUAUUAAUAUUUAUGUGCAACAAACGAAGUAAAUACGAGUAAUUUUAGCAUCUAUCACGAUAUGAUUAUAGUUCAUGGACUAACCUACUCGGAUGGCAUUUGCAGCUGCUUGGCGAUAUUGCUCAAUAACCUGCCAUACUUCGUGUGUUUGGAGAGCUCUUGGUUUGUGAGGAACAUCGAGAGUCCCGUCGGGCAUGAUGAUUUUCCAUUUAUCAGAGAUAGAUUGAUUUGUUGACGAAAUCAGAGCGCGUCCAUCGGGUUGAUAAACUAAUACAAUCACCAUAAUAUAAUACCAAUUGUUGUUAGAAACGAGUAUAGAAGGUGAAACUUAGUAAGUUAACAUUGCCAAAGUAGGAAAAAAGUAUAACGGCAAAAACAGAUUGUCAAAUUCAAAUGGUGCAGGUCGUGAUUAUAUGAUAUUUUUAGAAAAUGAAUUUAGUACCACGGUUGGAGGCACGACCAACGUGCCAAAGUUGACAGAAGAUGAUGCCGCCCUUGGAAUGAACAGCAUCCACCACCUUCUUCCAUGCUUCGACUUGCUCUUCAGUGUAAAUCCCAGCACUACCUGGAAACCUGGUUUAACAACAUUUUAUUUUUCAAACUUAAAGAUCCUCCUAUGAUCCAAAGCGAAGUUCAUAUUACUUGCUGUCGAGCAAUGAAUAGGGAAUAAAUAGCUUGCGGUGCUAAGGUGUACAUCGGUAUGUAGACAAUUUCAGUUCCUUUCUGCGUGAUAUAUAGAAGACAACUUGAUCUCAGGACAAAAGGACGUACCCAGCGGCCGUGUCAGAGAUGAGGGUGCCUUCGGUGAUGAGAAAACCACCCUUGGUCGUUAUUUGCGCAUAGUACUCUGCAUGCACCGGCAAUGGAAUCCCAUUGAUUGCUCUGCAUCUCGUCAUAGGCGCUAGCACUACCCUAUGAGAGAGAUCGAACUUGCCCAUCUGGCAUGAAGUGAAGAGGUUCGCGGCCAUUUCGUGUGUAGCUUGUAUUCUGUCAAGAACGAACAACAAGGAUUGAUACUAAGAAUAUGAUGGUGAAGAUUUGAAGACGGUGCGAUGUGAGGUUGAUCGAUAUUGCUCAUCGGUUUUUAUAGUUGGGUGUUGCCAUUUGAACAUUGCAGCAAGAACUGGGAAGCUUUGCCGUAAUUAAGUUUGCACAUGGCUAGGUUUAAUUUUGUUAUGACUAAGUGGUCGCAUGUUGGGAGGGUCGAAUUGCAAUUGCUUUCUUUAACCUCACUUUUCUCCUUGCAAAAUUGUUUUAAAGACGUUGACGUAUAGAACAUGUGGUUCUAACGUUUCUUUAUUUUCUUUAUUACCCAAUGGGGUUCUUACGUUGACCGUUCAACAUUUCAUCGCCUGCUGGGCUGCUACGAAGUCGGUGGGGGGUUCGUUCCUGUUCAUAUAAAGCAAUCAGUCUAUGUUCACUGUCCGGUGAAUCUAAUAUUAAUAAAUAACAAUAUGUUGCGUUAUACAAACUCUCGAACAACACCGCUCACGUGCCAGCUUCUCUAGCGGCCAAUAAGAAAUAAAUAAACAUCAAUUGCUGUUGCCAUGCGAACCCUUGCAGCAGAAUCGACGUAAUACAUUACGUGCAUGCCAGGAGGCUGGGAGAGUUUAAAUUUUUCUCUUUGCUUCUCGAUUGAGAAAACUCUAAUUGGCUUCUACCGUGCCCAAUUAUAAUUCAUAUGUGAGAUGAUCGCUUGAUGAUGUGCAAGAACAAGAGGUAUGGACGCAACUUUGAUUUCGAUUUGGACCAUGCCAUAGACAUCUCAUGUCACGCCCCGAUCCUCAGGCAUGCGCACAUCCUUCUAUUUGGUUGAUUUUAAAAUGCUAUAUCUCAGGACCAAGUAUCGCCGACCCAUUUCAUUAUUAAUAGUACAUGCGAAAGCAGUUAUAAAUCCCAAGACAAUAAGACAAUUGGAUAGAAAAGCAGAGCCAUAUUUUUCAUACUGAAAAUUCACAACCACGCCUUUUUACAAACAACUCGUAGUAUUCUACAAUACUAUAUACAUAAGUUUGAUCUAACAUCAAUUCACAUGUAGACAAGGUCUAACAAGACAUAAUGGGAUCUCAGUCCUCAUCCAGGUAGUACUGAGGAUUAUCCUGAUCCUCUUCUGACUCUUCUUCACUAAGCUCACAUCCUUCAAGCUCUUCAUAUUUUUUUCGGCUCAUUGUCCUCUUCUGGUUCCUCCUCCACAGGCUCAUCACGGGCCUGAAAUGUUAUCCCACAACCGGGAUGAGACUACGUCUCAGCAAGUUCUACCCUACUAAAACUCGAUUAGGAAACCAAUACGCUAUCCAAGCCAGUAUAUUAUACCUUCCUUUUACUUUUCUUUUUGGUGCUAUGAGUCUUCUCUUUUGGUAGUAAUUUUUCUGCAAGGUUCCUCUAUUUGUAUCCUUUCCCUUGUAGUCUACAAACUUUUUAUGUAGCGAAUGUUUCAACAAUUUACGGAAUGUCUAAACAUCUUUGCUUUAAGACAAUUUUUUUUUUUUUUUUUUGGAUUUUCUAUUAACAACACCUCUACAAUUAAAUAUUUUUCACACUCGCAGUAGUGAAUGAAAGUAUUCAUCAAUGAACAUGAUUGUCAAAAUAAAGAGUUGAAUACCUAAUUUACAUAAUUUAAAACUUUAAUAAAUUCCGCUCAAGCCAUGGCAAUCCUAGCUAACUCAAAAAUCAAAAUUAUGAUAAUCUCAUUAGUAACUAAAGAUGAAUUUAAUGUAAAAAUUUAAGUAUAUUGAAUUCGUUUGAUUAAUUCUUUUUACCUCGAUGCUUUUUCCUUUUUUUCCUUUUUGUAUUGCCACACUUUUUUCUCCAUACUAGCCAACUUUCAAAUUUUUCACUUAUUCAAUAAUUCUUUAAAGUCUCAUCAUAUUAGGUUAAAAUAUAUGUGUGGUUUGUUAUUUUGAUUUUUAUUGUAUGUAGAAUUGGUGAAAUUGAUUUCACAAGUACUGUGCAAUAGAAUUGAGUUUUUUUUUUUUUUUUUGGUCGGUCCUACUCUAAUCCUACUCUAACACUCACUCUCAGACUUUUGCCCUACCUCUUUGCAGGGCGUGGGAGUUGAAACCCACUCCUGAAAUUAAAUCGUCCCCACCCUAAUCCCCCCUGAGAAUGUGGGGAUUUGAACCCCUCACCUCCCCCUUCUAAGUUGGAAGGGUGGUAACUGGGGCGAACCCCCAGUGGUUCAAUAGAAUUGAGUUUAAUAUUUAAUUAGUUAUACAAAGUAUUUAAUGGUCCAAGCAGGAAUUUUUAUUUUCUUUAUCAAAAAAUAAUGAUUGAUAUUUUAGAAUUUUCUAUCAAGAUUUCUUUACCAAAUUUGUUCCACCAGUAGCCCAUUCCCAUUGAAUGGGAAUUAAUGGAAAGCGAGGCACCGUCAUUCCCUCUUAAUAACGGUGACGUCCGUUAUGAUGACAUUUUAUGAUACAAUUAUUGCAUAUAUUUCCGUAGAAUUAGUCUGUCGGGGUCACCUUGUCGCGACCAAUUUUUUCGGGUGUGAACCACCUAGGGUUUGGCUAAUGAAUUGUUAAGCCUAAACUUAACUCGGGCUCUCCCAAGCCCAUAUCAAUUCGCGACUUAGGUUCGAAUUCUUAACAUGCAAAUUGAUUUUAUUUAGGAGUCGCCACUAAUCAGUUUAUGGUAGGUCGAUUAGACACCUAAGUAAAAUAAUGGGAGAAUUAUUUUACUCCUACGAACCAGAGACUAAGGGUACGAGGACUUGAUUACAUUAGAUUUCUCUAAUGCCCUUUCGGUACCAUUCUUUUUAUUUUCAAAAAUGUUUGGCAAUUGAAUUGAUUUUAAAUAAACUUCCUAACAUGUGAGGUGAUCAUACAUGUGCGCAUACCACCAAUUUAACACUCAAGAAAGCAAAUGAAUAAAUGAUGCAGAACUUACCUCAAAGCAACGAAAGCAUCUGCAGUGUUAGAUCAGAAUUCACAUCAUCAAUCUUAGAUAUGAUUUCUAAUUAACACGCCAUCAAGCAAUUUUUUGUUUUCACUUUAUUUAAUGAGAAUCGUGCGAUGCAUGAUAAUAAUCUAAUAUGACAUGGCAACAUGACCUAAGCUAUAUGACAUUAGUAAAGUAAAUCCUAAAGAUAUGCAAUAAUUAAAUGCAAUCUAAAUGAUCUAAUUCUAUUGACGGGCAGUUUCUAAUUAAAUGGGCCUAAAAAACUAAAUGACGUGCCUUUGAUAUUUCAAUUCCUAAAAAAUGCAAACUAUCUUAGAGAAUGAAAUGAAUCUACUCUAAGACAAUUUUUUUUAUGAAAUUCGAAAUUAAGAUGCAAAAAUUACCUAGCAAGAUUAAAAUUCUAUCCAAUUAAACUAAGGAUUAAGUCAGAGUAAAUCCUACUUUAAACUAAGAUAUCAUCUUAACCUAGCGAUCUUUAACUUAAGAUGCAGUCUAUCUAAAAUGAUCUAUCUAAAUAAAAUUAAACAUGCAAUCAACCUAAUAUGCAAUGACGUGCCAAGGAUGCCCUAAUUCUACAUGAUACAUGCAUGAUGAUUUUUUUUUUGUAUUUUUCUUUAUAAAAUUCGAAAUUAAAACUAACACAUAAUUAAACAUGCAAUUCAAAUAAAAACUAACAACCUAAAUGAAUGCACUUUCUUUUUUGGAUUUUUUUUAUUUAAAAAUUCAUAAUAAGAUUGCAAUCAUAAAUAUGCAAACCUAAUCCUAAUUAAGAUUUUUUUUAUUUUUUAUUUUACGAAAAUAAGAUUUGACUCAACCAACUUGACGAUGGCAAAUCAAACAAAAGAUAAGAUUGAUAUCCAAAAAUUGGCGAACCAUAUCUCGCGCAUGAGAUCGAGUUGACCAAUUUUAAAAUUAAAUCGCGAAUCGAAUCUCGGGCUUGAGAUUAGAUUGUCGAUUUUUGCAAGAGAUUGCAAGUCGGAUUUCGGGCGCGAAAAUCGGACUAUCAUUCCCUAAUUUGAGGGGCACUUUCUUGUUGGAAUCUCAAUCAAACAUUUAAGAGUAACAAUUCGACUAAAUAAAAUCAGAUAUAAUGGAAAAUAAAAAAAAAACUAUAACUAAAUAAGCAAUAAUAAUGAAAAAUCUACCUAAUACCCUUUUCCCUUUUUUUUUUAUCUCUUUCCUUUCCCACGUGGAAUCGUGGGUCUCCAAGGACAACCGGCUGAUCAGUCCGGCGAGGGAACUCCGGCAAGGGUGAACCAGCGAACCAGCGGCAACAGAGGGAUGCGGAGCACGGAUCACGUGAGGGCGGACGGCCAAGGCGAGGCGGUGGUAGCUGCAGGGGCACCUGAUCGUCGCGGGUCAGCGUGGGCUGAGCAGGGGCAGCGUUGGGCAGAUCUGGGUCGAGUCCGGUCUCGGCAGAGCUUCGGGCAGCAGGGCACAGGGAUUCGGCGGUAGCGUCGAAUCGCGAGGUUGAAGCCGAGGUUGGGCGAGGGGGCUCGUGGGCUUCUGAGCCAAUGCGCAGGGACGGAGGCGAUUCGGCAGUAGGGCUGGGUGUCGGUGCGGCGUCCGACGAGCAGGAACGUCGGGUCUCGGCGCGGCGGAAGAGAGGCGCGCAGUGCGGUGGUGGAUUGCGCGAUGAUGCGGAGGCUUGGCAGCUGCAGGGGCGACGGGCUCUCGGAGCAGCCACACGGGUGCGGUGAACGGCGGUAGUCGCGUGGUGAGGCGGAGGAGCUCCGGGUAGUCGCGGAUGGAGCAGCAACGCGGGGGCAGCAAACUUGGAGAGACGAUGAACAGUAGGGGUCAAAUCACCCCACUUUUUCUGCUUUUCCGCUUCUCCUCUGUCUCUUCCUGUCACUCUCCUUUUUCACUUCUGACUUUUCACUUUUUUGCUUUUUUUUUCCUCUUCCUUGAUCAAAAGAAAACCUAGCGAAAAGCCCCCUCAAAAACCUCUCGCACACACGGCCUUUUAUAGGGAAAGGAAUGGAUUUUCAAAUUCUUUCUCGAAUCAAUCUUUGUAAAUCUUUUUCACAAAUUUCAUCCCAUAUUGAUAAGGAUUCGAGAUCAAGAUGAAAUUUUUUCUAAAUCCAAAUCUUUUAAAGACAAAUCGCAAUAUUUUUUAUCCAUCUGCCCUAUCUAAAAAAAUUUCAUAUCCCGAUUGAAAUUUCAAAAUUAAUUUUCCCACGAGAUAAUUUUCGAUCAUUAAAAAUAUGGGCCUGGGCCGACUUGCUCGUUUCAUGGGCUUAAUCCAACUAAUUUGAAACCAUCUGCCUUCCGUCCAAUAAAAUGCAAAAAAUGCAAAUAACAAAAAUAAAUGCAACCUAUAUCUGUAUGUUAUGCAAUUAAUAAAAUUAACCCCUAAUUUCAUAUGCAAUAAAUAAAUAAAUUAAAUCACCAAAAUUUAGGUGUCAAACACACCUUGCUACGAAUUUGAUUUUUGAGGAUAUCAUGCUAAUGCAAAUAGGUGAUAAUAGAGCAAUAUAAUAAUGACUGGAUUAAAGUUCACGUUUUUGGAUGAUGCUUACUAGAAAAAGAAAGACUAAGAGAUUGGAUCCCUAACACUAACUCAGGUCAAUUGAUCGGGCUAAAACUGCAGAAAUGAAAAUAUGAGGCAUGCCAUGCUGACUGUCACUCGACUUCACUUAAUCGAAAACUAUGAAGCAAAUGCAGUGCUUGCAUGUUAAAGAAAAGGCAGACAAUCAAGAAAGGACUGCAAACUCAAUAUUGGGUCAUCAAGGUAAGCUCCUAGAUCAAUCCUGAGUUCUCGAAGGGAAUGGCAUCUUGUGCAAGAAGUUGGGGGGUUUUGACUCCAUUGAAUUUAAGAAAUUGAAGAACGGAAAAAUUAAAGUAAGAGCAUAUCGUGAUCACAUGAUAAUUUACGCCCAUCCAUCACAACUCUAAGUAAUGGGAGUAGUUUCUCAUCAAAUUUGUAACAAUACAUUGUAACAAUUUCACUCAGCCAACUGCAAUUAAUAGGAUCAAAGUCAAUAAGGUUAGAGUCAUUGCUCGCAUUUAACGCCUAUAGUGUAUCCUCGAAUAUAGUUCGAUUGAAGAUAGAAAGCCCCAGAGAAUUAUAGAAAACAAAUGGUUCUACUAAGAAACGUAUGAAAUCACUCUUUUGAAGCUGUAAUUGCCCCAUGAUAUAAUUUAACCUCUUAGACUCUCUGAACAUAAACACAAGAAAAAUGGAAUAGCUUUAAUAGAAAAGGAGUAUGCUUGUAUAAGAAUAACCAAUAUGUUUUGUGAACAAAUACAAUCACUCGAUUAAUAUAUAGUCAAUCUUCUGACAUACAUUUUUGUCCGAAAAUUUAAUUAAAAUAAAAUUCAAAAUUGCUAAAUCACAAAUUUUCAAGUGCCCAAUUAAGAUUAAAUAUAAUUAGUCGUAUUAAAUGCAAAAUGUCCGCUUGAGUUCCCAUGCCUUUAAAAAAACAAAAACAUGGUUGCUCUCAUAUUCAAACAAAAUAGUUUCUUUCCUUUUAUCCUAUGUGGGACUCCUUUUUUUACUUCCACACUCACAUUACAAACUCUCGAACAACACCGCUCAGAGGACAGCUUCUCUAGCGGCCAAUAAGAAAUAAAUAGACAUCAGUUUCUACUGUAAAUGAUGAUAUUAUUCCACGACUACUUGCAAUAAUUUAAAUCAAAAUACACCAAUGCAUACAACACCAAGGAUUCUAAUUUAUUGAGUCGACGAUGUACAAAUCAUGGGCCCUAUUUUCAUGGACAUAAAUUAUAUGCAAUGAACAAGUUGUCUUAUUUCUUCAGUCCUACAUGGUGCUUAACUUGUGGAAUAAAAUCCAAUAAAGAAAACUUCACACAAAGUUCCUAGGAGUACGAACAAACCAGUGGCAUUUUCAUUUACUAGUGUGUCACUUCCCCAUUUUCCUAAUUAAGAAAUGGGUAGUCUAGGUGACCAACAACUGUAUCUUUAGUAUAGAAUGCCUCUCUAUUGUAACCAUUCAACAGUACAUAUACUUUGAAUCUGUAGACCAAAUCAGGGUUAGAGAUGAAGAGCCAACCACACAAUAUCAAGUCUAUGUCUCCAGCAGCCAGAGCCUUCAUCCCGAGCCCUCGUGUAAAACCACCACUUGACAUGAAGGUACCUCGAUAAGCCCUUCUCCAAGUUCUCAUCAAUUGAGCUUCUUCAUCCUCCUUUUCUUUGUCAUAAUUUUUUGUGCCAUGGGCCAUGAAUCGAGGUUGAGUCACAUGGAGAUAGGCGAGUUUGCAUCAUAUUUUAUUCUAAAACUUGUUUAGUCUCUUGAUGACCACUGAGCCUAGAUUAAGCAGAUCAGAGCUUGUGGCAUCCAUGUGCUCAAUUGCUGGAGAGAUUCUAACUCCCAUUCAAUUAGUGCCAACUUCUCCUGCCACCACUUUGACAAUCUCCAUUAAGAAUUUGCAUCUAUUCUUGAUUGAUUCUCCAAAUUUGUCCGUUCUAUCACUGAUCAAGUCCUUUAAAAAUUCAUCAAUGAGGUAGCCAUGGGCUCCUAAACUCAACGUCAUCAAAACCUUAAGUGGAAAUUGAUUUGAUUAUUAAUGCUUAUGCGCAACAAACAAAGUACAAAAAUCUCAUUUGAAAGUUCAUCAUGGUAUGAUUAUGGUCCAUGGACUAACGUUUUCCAGCUGCUCGACGAUAUUGCUCGAUAACCUACCAUACGUCAUGUGUUUGGAGGGUUCUUGGUCUAUGAGGAACAUCAAAAACAUCAAAAGUCUUGUCAGGCAUGAUGAUUCUCCAUUUGUCGGAAAUAGAUUGAUUUGUUGAUAAAAUCGGCGUGUGUCCACCAAGUUGAUAAACUAAUACAAUCACCAUAACAAUUCAAUAUUGUCAAAAACAAGGAUUGAAGGUGAAACUCAAUAAGCUAACAUUGCCUCACUAGGAAAACAGUUAACUGCAAAGAAAUUGUCAAAUCUAAUUUGUUCAAUUUGAGGGAAAAAAUAUAUUAGUACCAUGAUUGGUGGCAUGACCAACGUGCCAAAAUUGACAGAACAUGAUGCUGCCUUUGGAAUGAACAGCAUCCACCACCUUCUUUCAUGCUCCGACUUGCUCUUCAGUACAAAUCCCAGGAGUACCUGGAAACCUGGUUUAACAACUUACAUUUCUCAAAGUUAAUGAUCCUCCUAUGAUCCUAAACAAAGUUCAUAGUACUUGCUGUCAAGCAAUAAAUAGGAUUUAUUUAGUUUUCUGUGCUCGGAUGAACAACGGCAUGCGCACAAAUUUAAUUCCUUUUUGCGCUAUAUACAGAAGACAGCCUGAUCUUGGGACAAGAGGUUCGCAUGCGCCAGCAAUGGGAUCUCAUUGAUUGCUCGGCAUCUCGUCAUGGGCGCUAGCACUACCCUGUGAGAGAGUUCAAACUUGCCCAUCUGGCAUGAAGUGAAGAGGUUCGCGGCCAUUUUGUGCGUAGCUUUGUAUUCUUGUUAAGAGCGAACAACAAAGGUCGAUGCUAAUAGGGGGCCUACGGAUCCUCGGUUAUUAAAAAAAAAAAAAAAGGUUGAUGCUAAAAGUACAAUGGGGAAAGAUUUGCAGACGGUGUGAUAUGAGGUUGAUCCGUACUGCUUGUUGUUAUUUCUGGUUUGUUGUUGCCAUUCGAGCAUUGCAGCAAAAACUGGGAAGCUUUGACGUAAUUCAGUUUGAGAAUACCAAGGUCGCCGCACGUUAUUAUUAGGAUUUAAUUGCAUUUUCGUGACAAAAUUUAGGACUUAAUUGCACUAUUUGAAUGUUUUAGGAUUUAAUUAUACUUUCGUAAUAAGUUUUUAAGACUUUCAAUCGAGCUUUACAAACUUUCUGAUAACACUGCGCGGAUGCAAGCUUCUCUAGCGGCCAAUAAAAAAAGUAAUAUGAACAUGAGUCUCUAUUGUAGAUGAUUAUAAUAUUCUACAACUAUUUUUAAGAAUCUCAUUAUAAUACAACAACGCAUACAAUAUCAGAGAAAGGAUUAUAAUGUAUUUAAGAAGAUGGACAUUUGAUCAUUCAUCAGACUCGAACGAGUCGACAAUUUACAAAUCAUGUGCCCGAUUUUUACGGACAUAAAGUACAUACAAUGAACAAGUUGUCUUAUUUCUUCCAUCCUCCAUAGUGCUUAAUUUAUACAACAUAAUCCAAUAAGAGAAAAGUCCACACAAACUUCCUAGGAGUACGAGCAAACCCAUAGCAUUUUCAUUUGCUAAUGUGCCACUUCCUUAUUUUCCUGGUCAAGAAAUGGGUAAUCUAUGUAACCGACAACUGGAUCUUGAAUAUAAAAUGUUUCUCUGUUGUAACUGUUCAAUGGUGCAUCAACCUUGAACCGGUGAACCAAAUCGGGGUUAGAGAUGAAGAGCCGACCAUACGAUAUCAAGUCUGCGUCUCCAUCAACCAGAGCCUUCAUCCCGAGCUCUCGAGUGAAACCACCAGUCGACAUGAAAGUACCUUGAUAAGCUUUCCUCCAGGCUCUCAUCAAUCGAGCUUCUUCGUCCUCGCCUUCUUCUUCUGUGGGAGCAGCCAUGAAUCGAGGCCGAGUCACAUGGAGAUAGGCCAGUUUGGAGCCUAACUCGUCUUGAAACUUGUUUAGUCUCUCAAUGAUUGCUAGGCCUAAACCGAGCGGAUCGGAGUCCGUGGCAUCAUUAUAGUCGACUACCGGUGAAAUUCUAACUCCCAUUCGAUCAGCGCCAAUUUCUCCAACAACCACUUUGAUAAUCUCCAUCAAGAAUCUACAUCUGUUCUCAAUCGAUCCGCCAAAUUCAUCCGUUCUAUCAUUGAUCGAGUCCUUUAAGAAUUGAUCAAUGAGGAAGCCAUGUGCUGCAUGGACCUCAACCCCAUCGAAACCUGAAAUCAAAAUUCAUAUGAUCACGUACACAUGCGUGACGAACUAAGUAAAUAAAACUAAUUUUUUCAUCUUUUCAUCCAUCAUGGUAUGACUAUAAUUCAAGGCCUAACCUGCUCGAAUGGCAUUUUUAGCUGCUAGUCGAUGUUGCUCGAUAACCUGCCAUACUUCAUGUGUUUGGAGGGCUCUUGGUUUGUGAUAAACAUCAAGACUCCUAUCGGGCAUGUGGAUUUUCCAUUUAUCGGAAAUAGAUUGAUUUGUAGACGAAAUCGGUGCGGCUCCCCCAGGUUGAUAAACUGAUACAAUCACCGUAAUACGUCGAUAUCGUCAAAAUCAAAUCUAGAUUGUUCAAGUUAUUCUUAGGAAAACAGUCCAACAGAAAAAAUAAAUAAAUAAAUAAAUAGUACCACGAUUGGAGGCGCGACCAGCGUGAAACUCUUGACAGAAAAUGAUGCCGCCUUUGGAAUGAACAGCAUCCGCCACCUUCUUCCACGCUUCGACUUGCUCUUCAGUGUAAAUCCCAGGACUACCCGGAAACCUGGUUUAACAACAUAAUUCAAUGAUCCUCCCAUGAUCCAAAACAAAUUUUCUGUUACUUGCUGUCAAGCAACGAUCUUGGGAGAAGAGGACGUACGCGGUGCCCGUGUUGGAGAUGGCGGUGCCUUCUGCGAUGAGAAGACCGCCCUCGCUUGCCCUUUGUGCGUAGUACUCCGCAUGAGCCGGCAACGGAGUAUCAUCGACCGCUCUACAUCUCGUCAUGGGUGCCAUCACCACCCUGUCACCACCACCACCAAGUUGAAAUCGAGACGUGCAGAGUUAUUCUGUACAGAUCUGUGCGGACUAUAUACGAUACCUGUGAGUCAGAUCAAACUUGCCCAUCUUGCAUGGAGUGAAGAGGUUCGUGCCCAUUUCGUGCGUAGCCAUGUUAAGGAUGAACAGGGACGGCCAACGCUAAAGAUAACAAUGGCCAAAAUCAGAAGAUGGUGCGAACUGAAUUGAGGUGGAUCUGCAUCGCUCGUUUGGUAUUUAUAGUUUGCUGUUGCCAUGGGAACCCUGGCAGCAGAAUCGACGUAAUUCAUUACGUGGAUGCCAGGAGGUUGGCAAAGUCGAAUUGCAUUUUGGCCUUCUUUGACCUUCUUUCUCUUCGAGAAGAAAGCGUGCUUAAGAAUGUCGGACCGACGGUGCACGGGGACGGAAAAUCGGCGAAGUUCAUGCCAAGGUUUCUACCCCAGUGUGGUUCUUACAUUGACCUUUCAACAUUUCAUCACCUGCUGAGCAAAAAAAUAAUAAUAAUCAUAGGUUCCCUUACAUUAUAAUAAUGAUAAUAAAAAUGAAAUUUUUCUCUUUGCUUCCCGAUUCAGAAAACUCCAAUUGACUUCCACCGUGCUUAAUUAUAAAUUAUGUAUGAGAUGAUCGCUUAAUUGUUGGAAAUUUCCUAUAAUAUGGGUUUACAUUAAUUAAUUGAUUUUCUAUUUUAAAUAAUCGGUUAAUGGAUAUUCCAAUAUUUAUUGAACUCUACAGUGAUCUGAUUGAAUUGGAUAUUGGCAUCUAUUAAUAACAGGUCUAGUUGAGCAGCAAAGUGUAGGCAAUUGUGUUUAACUGAAGUUCGUAAUGGGAAUGACCCAAUUGACACGUUACUGAUUAGGGUUUGCUAGGUGCCCCCUCUAGCCUAUAAAAAGGUAAGUUAUACCCAUCAGUUGCUUUAAUCCUAUUGAAAGCUGCUAUGCCGAAAUAACUCAAAAAGAGAAAGAUCUAACAUUCUGAUAGAUCUCUAAUUAUCAGAGUGAUAUAUUUUUCUUCAAGUGAAGCAAUGGCUCAUACAGGUACGCUUUAAUUCCGAUGUAUUCAUUGAUUUCAGUGUUUUACAAUUAUAUAUGGAUCCGUUUUUUCUUGAUCGAUUAAUUGUUUAUGUGAAUAAUUUUUUAUAUGUGGAAUCAGAGCCUAUCAUAUAUGAUUGUAGAACCCAUUUUUUUUUUUAAUGAAAAAAUUCGAAAUUUUCCUCUUUGAGCUGAAUAUGGACAUUAUUUUUGUCGCGACCUAAAUUUUUGGGUGCACCACCUAAAGUUUAGGCUGAUGGAUUAUUAAGCCUAGAUUUAACUCAGGCUCUCCCAAGCCCAUACCAAUUCACGACUUAAGUUCAAGUUCUUAACAUGCAUAUAGAUUUUAUCUAGGAGUCGCCACUAAUAUAUUUUUGGUGGGUCGAUUAAAAGCCUAAGUAAAGUAACGAGAGUUUUACUUUACUCCUACGAACCAGAGACUAUGGGUACGUGGACUUGGUUACACUAGAUUUCUCUAAUGCCCUUUCAGUACCAUUCUUUUAUUUUGAAAGAUGUUUUUUGCAGGUAGUUUAAAUUGAUUUUAAAUCUAAUUCCGUAACAUGUGAGGUGAUCAUGCGGGUGCAUAAACCACCAAUUUAACAUCCAAGAAAGCAAUGAAAUAAUAAAAAAAAUGCAGGGACUUACCUUGUAUCAACGAAAGCAUCUGCAUGGUUAGAUUAAAAAUUCACAUCAUCAACCCUAGAUAUGAUUUUUAAUUAACACGCAAUUUCUUUUAUUUGUUUUCACUCAAUUAAUGAAAAUUAUACAAUAUGCAAGGCAAUAUUAACUAAAUGACCUAAUUCUAAUGACAUGCAAUUUCUAAUUAAAUAGACCUAGUAACAAUCACUAAAUGGCAUGCAUUUUAUGAACCUAAUUCUAUAAGACGUGCACAUGAUAUAUUUUUGUGUUUUUUUUUUAUAAAAUUCGAAAGUAAAAUUGUCAAAUAAUUAAACAUGCAAUUCGAUUAUAAAAAAAAAAACUAACAUCCUACGCGAAUGCAUUUUUUUGGAUUUUUAUUUUUGUUAUUUUUUAUUUUUUUAAAAAAGUUUGAAAUAAGUAAAUUUCCUAUCCUAGAUAUGCAAUUUAAUUCAAAGAUAUCAUCUAACCUAGUUAUCAUCUAAACAUGCAUUUAAGAAAAAUGACUAACUAACCUAUCAUGCAACCAAUCCUAAUCUACACGGGAUGCAAAUGCAAUUUUUUGUAUUUUCGGUGUAAAUAGAACAAUUAAAAAUAAUAAUAAACACCAAAUCAUCCAAAUGUUAUCCACCAUUCAAAUUCAAAUUCAAACUUGAUUAUCUUGCUAAUAAAAUCGAUAAAUUGAUUUUAAGCCUUAAAGAUCAAGAUAUCAAUUUACUCCCGCGUAAAUAAUUAUUCCAUCUAAAGCCUUAUAGAUAGAAUAAAAAUUCGUGCGGUUGCAAAUUGGAUGCUACAUCAGUGAAUUUCAAUUAUGCAUUGGAAAAUAUUUCAAACAAAGAGAUAAAAUAUCAAAAAUUAAAAUAAGAUAAAACAAAUCUACCUAAUAAAAUAAAUCUACCUAAAUUAAAAUAAAUCUCUACCUAAAUUGAAUUUUUUUUCCAAAAAUUCGAACGGUGAGGUGGACCAACGAUGAAGGCUCAGCACGACACGGUUCAAAGGCAGCAGCCGUGGUGGUAAGUCACCCAAGGGCUUCGGUGAGGGCGAUGGGC
rnacentral:lncRNA from 1 species